CCUACGGGUGGCAGCAGUGAGGAAUAUUGGUCAAUGGACGAGAGUCUGAACCAGCCAAGUAGCGUGAGGGAUGACUGCCCUAUGGGUUGUAAACUUCUUUUAUAAAGGAACAAAACGAGGCACGUGUCCCUCUUGCAUGUACUUCAUGAAUAUGUAUCGGCUAACCCCGUGCCAGCAGCCGCUGUAAUACGGAGGAUCAGAGCGUUAUCCGGAUUUAUUGGGUUUAAAGGGAGCGUAGAUGGGUUUGUAAGGCAGGUGUGAAAGUUGGCGGCUCAACCGUAACAUUGCAAUUGAUACUGGCAGUCUAGAGUAAAGGUGAGGUAAGCGGAAUGCGUGGUGUAGCAGUGAAAUGCUUAGAUAUCGCGAAGAACCCCGAUGGCGAAGGCAGCUUACUGGACUGUGACUGACGUUGAGGCACGAAAGUGAGGGGAGCGAACAGGAUUAGAUACCCGAGUAGUC
rnacentral:rRNA from 1 species